GCGUCAGCCGCCGCGGUAAUACGUAGGUGGCAAGCGUUGUCCGGAAUUAUUGGGCGUAAAGCGCGCGUAGGCGGUUUUUUAAGUCUGAUGUGAAAGCCCACGGCUCAACCGUGGAGGGUCAUUGGAAACUGGAAAACUUGAGUGCAGAAGAGGAAAGAGGAAUUCCAUGUGUAGCGGUGAAAUGCGCAGAGAUAUGGAGGAACACCAGUGGCGAAGGCGACUCUCUGGUCUGUAACUGACGCUGAGGAGCGAAAGCGUGGGGAGCGAACAGGAUUAGAAACCCCAGUAGUCC
rnacentral:rRNA from 1 species